rnacentral:rRNA from 1 species
UACGUAGGCAGCGAGCGUUGUUCGGAGUUACUGGGCGUAAAGAGUGCGUAGGCGGUGGCCUAAGUCUGGUGUGAAAUCUCCCGGCUCAACUGGGAGGGUGCGCCGGAAACUGGGCUGCUCGAGUGUGGGAGAGGCCGGCGGAAUUCCUGGUGUAGCGGUGAAAUGCGUAGAUAUCAGGAGGAACACCUGCGGUGUAGACGGCUGGCUGGACCAUGACUGACGCUGAGGCACGAAAGCGUGGGGAG